rnacentral:lncRNA from 1 species
CUCAAACGUGUGGAUCUGGUUCUUCUAGACACCUGUAUAGCUCAUAACUCAAUGGCCAAACUAUUGAGAUCCCCUCGAGCAGUCUGCAAAUCUUGAGAUUAGAAUCACAUCAUUAGCUGCAUUUAAUUUUCCCCAUGAUUGUCAAAACUCAUUUUUAGCAAAAAUUAAUUUUUGUUUUCCUUCUCAAGUUACCGUUGUUUCUUUAUAUACUCCCACGACUCCCACUAUUCACACUUUCACUCUUCGCUACUUACACAAACCAAAACCUCCAACUUUUCUCUGCAAUCUCUCUUCAUUUUUCUCUGAAACUUCAUCAUGAAUGCUCAAGAACAACAAGUCUUCGAGUUCUCUCAAGAGAUGAACGCCCAAGAACAACAAG